rnacentral:Y_RNA from 1 species
AAUAAACCCGCUGGUGGUGGGUUAUCAGAACUUAUUAAUAUUAGUGUCAAUAAAAGUUGUUAUACAAUCCUCCACUGCUAAAUUUGAUUGGCUUUAA